rnacentral:tmRNA from 1 species
GGGGGCGAAAUAGGCUUCGACAUUGGGAAGAAAAGUGAAAGAUUGCCUGUAAAGGUACCGGGCCCUUUAAAAACCGGUAAAAUAUAACUGCCACAACGGCAAAUUAUCUGGCUGCUUAAUAAUCAGCCACUCGUCCAGACCUUUGCCCUUGGGGUCUGAAAACGAGUCGAUAAAGGGCUUAUUCUGAUAAUUUUGUCCCUGGAUAUCAGAAGAAAGAUUACAGGAACACCUUUUCCAUAAAUCCUGCUUCGGGGAGACUGGAAAAGACAAAAAACCGAAGAUACACAGGUAGAUAUCUUCCUUUUCCCCCUCUGCACGCGGGGGCAGUACCCGCCGCCUCCACUC